AGCGAACGCUGGCGGCAGGCUUAACACAUGCAAGUCGAACGGGCACUUCGGUGUCAGUGGCAGACGGGUGAGUAACACGUGGGAACGUACCUCUUGGUUCGGAACAACACAGGGAAACUUGUGCUAAUACCGGAUAAGCCCUUACGGGGAAAGAUUUAUCGCCGAGAGAUCGGCCCGCGUCUGAUUAGCUAGUUGGUAGGGUAAUGGCCUACCAAGGCGACGAUCAGUAGCUGGUCUGAGAGGAUGAUCAGCCACAUUGGGACUGAGACACGGCCCAAACUCCUACGGGAGGCAGCAGUGGGGAAUAUUGGACAAUGGGGGCAACCCUGAUCCAGCCAUGCCGCGUGAGUGAUGAAGGCCCUAGGGUUGUAAAGCUCUUUUGUGCGGGAAGAUAAUGACGGUACCGCAAGAA
rnacentral:rRNA from 1 species